rnacentral:tRNA from 1 species
GCAUCGAUGGUUCAGUGGUAGAAUGCUCGCCUGCCACGCGGGUGGCCCGGGUUCGAUUCCCGGUCGAUGCA